rnacentral:rRNA from 1 species
UACGAAGGGAGCGAGCGUUGUUCGGAAUUACUGGGCGUAAAGCGCACGCAGGUGGCUGAGUCAGUCGAUUGUGAAAGCCCUGGGCUUAACCUGGGAAUUGCAGUCGAUACUACUCAGCUAGAGUAUGGGAGAGGGUAGUGGAAUUCCCGGUGUAGCGGUGAAAUGCGUAGAUAUCGGGAGGAACAUCAGUGGCGAAGGCGGCUACCUGGCCCAAUACUGACACUCAGGUGCGACAGCGUGGGGAGCAAACAGG